rnacentral:sRNA from 1 species
AAUGCUUCAACAAGUAAUUUUGGGUCCGUAAUAUAGCCCAAAUCACAAAUAUGCCCGAAAAAGUACUUAAAGGUCAAAAUUUGGGAUCGACAAAAAGUCAAUGAAAUUGUUCCGUUGUCUUGCUUCUUUUGUCGGAAGGCUCUCUUUACGCUUUCCGAAAAGGUAUCACAUGCCAAGUUUGACCUCACGGUAUAAAAGUUAUAGAGUCAUAAAGUUUUAACCAAAAAAAACAAAUUAAAAAAAAAAGAAGGAUGCAACACGAGGACUUCCCGGGAGGUCACCCAUCCUAAUACUACUCUCGCCCAAGCACGCUUAACUAAAGGUCAAAAUUUGGAGUCGACAAAAAAUCAAUGGAUAAGUUCCAUUGUCCUGCUUCUUUCAUCGGAGGGCUCUCUUUGGGCUUUCCGAAAAGGUAUCAGAUGCCAAGUUUGGCCUGACGGUAUAAAAGUUAUAGAGUCAUAAAUUUUUAACAAAAAAAAAACAAAUUAAUAAAAAAGAGGGAUGCAACACGAGGACUUCCCGGGAGGUCACCCAUCCUAGUACUACUCUAGCCCAAGCACGCUUAACUAAAGGUCAAAAUUUGGAGUCGACAAAAACUCAAUACAUAUGUUCCAUUGUCCUGCUUCUUUCAUCCGAGGGCUCUCUUUGGGCUUUCCGAAAAAGGUAUCACAUGCCAAGUUUGGCCUCACUGUAUAAAAGUUAUAGAGUCAUAAAGUUUUAACCAAAGAAAAAAAUUAAAAAAAAAAGAGGGAUGCAAGACAAGGACUUCCCGGGAGGUCACCCAUCUUAGUACUACUCUCGCCCAAGCACGCUUAACUACGGUGUUCUGAUGGGAUCCGGUGUAUUAGUGCUGGUAUGAUCACAUCCGUUAGUAUAUGCAAUGCAAUCGUAUAUAUUCUUUUUGGAAGAAUUGAUGAACCAUUCGCCAUGGGCCCCAUCCGCUAUGUAGGGAUACCCCAUCUAGUCUUAACGAGCUUUGAUGCAUGAAAAAAUUCUAAAACAAUGCUUGAACAAGUAAUUUUUGGUCCGUAAUAUAGCCCAAAUCACAAAAAUACGCGAAAAGUACUUAAAGGUCAAAAUUUAGGGUCGACAAAAAGUCAAUGGAAAAGUUUGUUUGUCCUGCUUCUUUCGUCGGAGGGCUCUCUUUGGGCUUUCCGAAAAGGUAUCACAUGCCAAGUUUGGCCUCACGGUAUAAAAGUUAUAGAAUCAUAAAGUUUUAACCAAAAAAAACAAAUUAAAAAAAAACAGGGAUGCAACACGAGGAGUUCCCAGGAGGUCACCCAUCCUAGUACUACUCUCGCCCAAGCAUGCUUAACAAAAGGUUA